GAAGCAGAGAUGGGACUCACUGAGCCAGAAGCAGCUCGGAGGCUGACGAGUCUACUCCAAAUCCCUCAUUUUGCAGUAGGAAAAUGCAGCUCGGGGAGAUCUGACACCAGUCCCGUGUACUCUGAAUGCAGCGCUGGCGCUGGAGCUGGGGCCCCAGCUACGAGGUCAGCACUCACAAAGCUGUCACUGAAAAGACCACACGGGCCAGUAUGCAGGUCUCCUGAGACGACAAGGAAGAGGCACUUCAGCUUCCGGGACAUGAUCGCAUCAGCCUCGACGUGGCAGACUGUCCACUGUGCGAAUGCUUUUUCUGGUUGGAAGGCUGAGAUCCUGGGGUGGGACACUGGCGUGGUUCUGACUGUAGAUCCACUUUAGAUCAACUUGUAGCACCAGUCUAAGGAAAGACACCCAAGUGUACCAGAGGAUCACACACAGUUGUCCAGGUACCUGUCUCUUUUAUUCCUCUUCCAUAUUUGUGA
rnacentral:lncRNA from 1 species